rnacentral:rRNA from 1 species
CCUACGGGAGGCAGCAGUGGGGAAUAUUGCACAAUGGGGGAAACCCUGAACCAGCAAAGCCGCGUGAAGGAAGACGGUUUUCGGGUUGUAAACUUUCUUUUUUAGGGGAAAAAAAUGACGGACGCGUGGGAGCAAGCAAGGGCUAACUGCGGGCCAGCAGCCGCGGUAAUACGCAGGAGCCAAGGGUAUACCGGAGUUACGGGGUUUAAAGGGAGCGAAGGGGGGAAGCGAAGUCAGCUGUGAAAAUUUCGGGCUUAACUUGUAGACUGCGGUUGAACCUGGUUGUCUUGAGUGAAGUAGAGGUUGGCGGAAUUCGGGGUGUAGCGGUGAAAUGCGUAGAUAUUCGGAGGAACACCGAUUGCGAAGGCGGUCAACUGGGCUUUAACUGACGCUGAGGCUCGAAAGUGUGGGGAGCAAACAGGAUUAGAUACCCUUGUAGUC